AUGUUGGUGCAUUUUUUGAAGAAGGGAUGUGGCUACGAUAUAACUUUCAGGCACCAGCAACAAAUGCCAGAGACUCCAGCAGCAGAGUAGACAACGCUCCCGACCAGCAGAACUCCCACCCGGACCUGGCACAGGAGGAGAUCCGCUUCAGCUUCAGCACCACCAAGGCGCCCUGCAUUCUCCUCUACAUCAGCUCCUUCACCACAGACUUCUUGGCAGUCCUCGUCAAACCCACUGGAAGCUUACAGAUUCGAUACAACCUGGGUGGCACCCGAGAGCCAUACAAUAUUGACGUAGACCACAGGAACAUGGCCAAUGGACAGCCCCACAGUGUCAACAUCACCCGCCACGAGAAGACCAUCUUUCUCAAGCUCGAUCAUUAUCCUUCUGUGAGUUACCAUCUGCCAAGUUCAUCCGACACCCUCUUCAAUUCUCCCAAGUCGCUCUUUCUGGGAAAAGUUAUAGAAACAGGGAAAAUUGACCAAGAGAUUCACAAAUACAACACCCCAGGAUUCACUGGUUGCCUCUCCAGAGUCCAGUUCAACCAGAUCGCCCCUCUCAAGGCCGCCUUGAGGCAGACAAACGCCUCGGCUCACGUCCACAUCCAGGGCGAGCUGGUGGAGUCCAACUGCGGGGCCUCGCCGCUGACCCUCUCCCCCAUGUCGUCCGCCACCGACCCCUGGCACCUGGAUCACCUGGAUUCAGCCAGUGCAGAUUUUCCAUAUAAUCCAGGACAAGGCCAAGCUAUAAGAAAUGGAGUCAACAGAAACUCGGCUAUCAUUGGAGGCGUCAUUGCUGUGGUGAUUUUCACCAUCCUGUGCACCCUGGUCUUCCUGAUCCGGUACAUGUUCCGCCACAAGGGCACCUACCAUACCAACGAAGCAAAGGGGGCGGAGUCGGCAGAGAGCGCGGACGCCGCCAUCAUGAACAACGACCCCAACUUCACAGAGACCAUUGAUGAAAGCAAAAAGGAAUGGCUCAUUUGAGGGGUGGCUACUUGGCUAUGGGAUAGGGAGGAGGGAAUUACUAGGGAGGAGAGAAAGGGACAAAAGCACCCUGCUUCAUACUCUUGAGCACAUCCUUAAAAUAUCAGCACAAGUUGGGGGAGGCAGGCAAUGGAAUAUAAUGGAAUAUUCUUGAGACUGAUCA
rnacentral:misc_RNA from 1 species